AGCGGCGGACGGGUGAGUAACGCGUGGGUAACCUGCCUUACACUGGGGGAUAACAGUUAGAAAUGGCUGCUAAUACCGCAUAAGCAUACAGUGCCGCGUGGCACGGUGUGAAAAACUCCGGUGGUGUAAGAUGGACCCGCGUCUGAUUAGCUAGUUGGUAGGGUAACGGCCUACCAAGGCGACGAUCAGUAGCCGACCUGAGAGGGUGACCGGCCACAUUGGGACUGAGACACGGCCCAA
rnacentral:rRNA from 1 species